GGGGGCGUUACGGUUUCGACGGGGAGCUGUGGCGAGAGAGGUAGCGAGCCGAGAUCCCACCAGCUCGUUAAACGGUGGAAAGCACGAUAAGUGCCAACGACAAUCUUGCUUACGCUGCUUAAUUAAAGCAGCCGUCCAAUCCGGACUUAGCCUGGGAGGCCGGUGCGGGCGUCACACAAACCAGGAUGCUCUCGUCCCAAUUCUCGGAGGGACGGGCUAAGACUAUCGAGAUAGCCCGCGUGGGGAGCUGGCGUGAGGGCGCCCCCGGGGCGAAAGCCAAAUCCCACGCUACGCUCGUAGAAGCCGCUUGAGCUGCCUCUUCGGACCCGGGUUCGACUCCCGGCGCCUCCACCA
rnacentral:tmRNA from 1 species